GCGUCGAUGGUGCAACGGUUCAGCUCACGCUCUCGUAAAGCAUGAGAUCUGGGUUCGAAUCCCGGCUGAAGCA